CCCUUAGAUGUCCUGGGCCGCACGCGCGCUACACUGAUGCAUGCAACGAGUUUCAUUUCUCCUGGGUCGAGAGGCCCGGGUAAUCUGUUGAACGUGCAUCGUGAUAGGGAUAGAUCAUUGCAAUUAUUGAUCUUGAACGAGGAAUUCCUAGUAAACGCGAGUCAUCAGCUCGCAUUGAUUACGUCCCUGCCCUUUGUACACACCGCCCGUCGCUCCUACCGAUUGGGUGUGCUGGUGAAAUGUUCGGAUCGGCCGUUUGUCGCGGUUUCCGCGUCAUGUGGCUGAGAAGUUCAUUAAACCCUCCCACCUAGAGGAAGGAGAAGUCGUAACA
rnacentral:rRNA from 1 species